GGAAUAUUGGACAAUGGGCGCAAGCCUGAUCCAGCCAUGCCGCUUGUGUGAAGAAGGCCUUCGGGUUGUAAAGCACUUUUGUACGGGAAGAAAAGCACUCGGUUAAUACCCGGGUGUCAUGACGGUACCGUAAGAAUAAGCCCCGGCUAACUCCGUGCCAGCAGCCGCGGUAAUACGGAGGGGGCUAGCGUUGUUCGGAAUUACUGGGCGUAAAGGGCGCGCAGGCGGCUGCUCAAGUCAGGCGUGAAAGGCCUGGGCUCAACCCGGGAAUUGCGCUUGAGACUGGGCUGGCUUGAGUGCGGGAGAGGAUGGUGGAAUUCCCAGUGUAGAGGUGAAAUUCGUAGAUAUUGGGAAGAACACCGGUGGCGAAGGCGGCCAUCUGGACCGCAACUGACGCUGAGGCGCGAAAGCGUGGGGAGCAAAC
rnacentral:rRNA from 1 species